GGCUUGCUUCACACAUGCAAGUCGAACGAGGUAGCAAUACCUAGUGGCGGACGGGUGAGUAACGCGUGGGAAUCUGCCUUAAGAUGGGGGAUAACGGGCCGAAAGGCUCGCUAAUACCGCAUAUGCCGAAAGGUGAAAGGAGUAAUCCGUCUUAAGAUGAGCCCGCGUCCGAUUAGCUAGUUGGUAGGGUAAAGGCCUACCAAGGCGACGAUCGGUAGCUGGUCUGAGAGGAUGAUCAGCCACAAUGGGACUGAGACACGGCCCAUACUCCUACGGGAGGCAGCAGUGGGGAAUUUUACGCAAUGGGGGAAACCCUGACGUAGCGACACCGCGUGAGCGAAGAAGCCCCUUGGGGUGUAAAGCUCUGUCAGCUGGAACGAAAAAAAUGACGGUACCAGCAGAGGAAGCAUCGGCUAACUACGUGCCAGCAGCCGCGGUAAGACGUAGGAUGCGAGCGUUGUCCGGAUUUAUUGGGCGUAAAGAGUUCGUAGGUGGUUUGUCAAGUCUGAUGUUAAAGAUCGGGGCUCAACCCUGGGACUGCAUUGGAUACUGGCAGACUUGAGUGUGGUAGAGGCUAGUGGAAUUCCCAGUGUAGCGGUGAAAUGCGUAGAUAUUGGGAAGAACACCGGUGGCGUAGGCGACUAGCUGGGCCAUAACUGACACUGAGGAACGAAAGCCAGGGUAGCGAAUGGGAUUAGAUACCCCAGUAGUCCUGGCCGUAAACGAUGGAUACUAGGCGUAUCGGGUAUCGACCCCUGAUGUGCCGCAGCUAACGCGAUAAGUAUCCCGCCUGAGUAGUACGGCCGCAAGGUUGAAACUCAAAGGAAUUGACGGGGGCCCGCACAAGCGGUGGAACAUGUGGUUUUAAUUCGAAGCAACGCGAAG
rnacentral:rRNA from 1 species